UCUUCCCUCUGGCGGCGUGCCUAAUACAUGCAAGUCGAGCGAACAGACGAGGAGCUUGCUCCUCUGACGUUAGCGGCGGACGGGUGAGUAACACGUGGAUAACCUACCUAUAAGACUGGGAUAACUUCGGGAAACCGGAGCUAAUACCGGAUAAUAUAUUGAACCGCAUGGUUCAAUAGUGAAAGACGGUUUUGCUGUCACUUAUAGAUGGAUCCGCGCCGCAUUAGCUAGUUGGUAAGGUAACGGCUUACCAAGGCAACGAUGCGUAGCCGACCUGAGAGGGUGAUCGGCCACACUGGAACUGAGCCACGGUCCAGACUCCUACGGGAGGCAGCAGUAGGGAAUCUUCCGCAAUGGGCGAAAGCCUGACGGAGCAACGCCGCGUGAGUGAUGAAGGUCUUCGGAUCGUAAAACUCUGUUAUUAGGGAAGAACAAAUGUGUAAGUAACUAUGCACGUCUUGACGGUACCUAAUCAGAAAGCCACGGCUAACUACGUG
rnacentral:rRNA from 1 species